rnacentral:rRNA from 1 species
ACUCCUACGGGAGGCAGCAGUGGGGAAUAUUGCACAAUGGGGGAAACCCUGAUGCAGCCAUGCCGCGUGUGUGAAGAAGGCCUUCGGGUUGUAAAGCACUUUCAGUAGGGAGGAAGGUAGUGUAGUUAACACCUGCACUAUUUGACGUUACCUACAGAAGAAGCACCGGCUAACUCCGUGCCAGCAGCCGCGGUAAUACGGAGGGUGCGAGCGUUAAUCGGAAUUACUGGGCGUAAAGCGCAUGCAGGCGGCCUGUUAAGUCAGAUGUGAAAGCCCGGGGCUUAACCUCGGAAUUGCAUUUGAAACUGGCAGGCUAGAGUCUUGUAGAGGGGGGUAGAAUUUCAGGUGUAGCGGUGAAAUGCGUAGAGAUCUGAAGGAAUACCAGUGGCGAAGGCGGCCCCCUGGACAAAAGACUGACGCUCAGAUGCGAAAGCGUGGGGGAGCAAACAGGAUUAGAUACCCUGGUAGCACAGAG